rnacentral:rRNA from 1 species
GGUGACCGGCCACACUGGGACUGAGACACUGCCCAGACUCCUACGGGAGGCUGCAGUCGAGGAUCAUUGUCAAUGCGCGGAAGCGUGAACAUGCGACGCUGCGUGGAGGAUGAAGGCCUUCGGGUCGUAAACUCCUGUCAUGAGGGAAAAAUUGCCCCAUGGUGAAUAGCUGCGGGGUUUGAUGGUACCUCAGGAGGAAGCCACGGCUAACUCUGUGCCAGCAGCCGCGGUAAUACAGAGGUGGCAAGCGUUGUUCGGAUUUACUGGGCGUAAAGCGUGCGUAGGCGGCGCCGUAUGUCGGAUGUGAAAUCCCAUGGCUCAACUGUGGAAUUGCAUUCGAAACUGCGGUGCUUGAGUGCAGGAGGGGAGAGCGGAAUUCUUGGUGUAGCGGUGAAAUGCGUUGAUAUCAAGAAGAACACCGGUGGCGAAGGCGGCUCUCUGGAAUGUUACUGACGCUGAGGCACGAAAGCUGGGGGAGCAAACAGGAUUAGAUACCCUGGUAGUCCCAGCUGUAAACGGUGCGCACUUGGUGUGGGAGGUAUUGACCCCUUCCGUGCCGGAGCUAACGCGUUAAGUGCGCCGCCUGGGGAGUACGGCCGCAAGGCUAAAACUCAAAGAAAUUGACGGGGGCCCGCACAAGCGGAGGAGCAUGUGGCUUAAUUCGAUGCAACAACGAAGAACCUUACCAGGGCUCGACAUGUAGCUGCACGGCCGGUGAAAGUCGGUUUCCUUCGAGGGUGCUACACAGGUGCUGCAUGGCUGUCGUCAGUUCGUGCCGUGAGGUGUUGGGUUAAGUCCCGCAACGAACGCAACCCUUGUGGUUAGUUGCCACCGCGGGUGAUGAGCCCGCGAGCACUCUAGCCAGACUGCCUGUACAAGCAGGAGGAAGGUGGGGACGACGUCAAGUCAGUAUGGCCCUUACACCCUGGGCUGCACACGUGCUACAAUGGUCGGUACAGAGGGACGCGAUACCGCGAGGUGGAGCAAAUCCUUAAAGCUGGCCCCAGUUCGGAUUGGAGUCUGCAACUCGACUCCAUGAAGUUGGAUUCGCUAGUAACGGCGCAUCAGCUACGGCGCCGUGAAUACGUUCCCGGGCCUUGUACACACCGCCCGUCACAUCAUGAAAGCCGUCUGCACCCGAAGUCGCCGAGCCAACCCUAACGGGGGGCAAGUGCCGAAGGUGUGGGUGGUGAUUGGGAUGAAGUCGGAACAAGGUA